GACGAACGCUGGCGGCGUGCUUAACACAUGCAAGUCGAACGGAAAGGCCCUGCUUUUGUGGGGUGCUCGAGUGGCGAACAGGUGAGUAACACGUGAGUAACCUGCCCUUGACUUUGGGAUAACUUCAGGAAACUGGGGCUAAUACCGGAUAGGAGCUCCUGCUGCAUGGUGGGGGUUGGAAAGUUUCGGCGGUUGGGGAUGGACUCGCGGCUUAUCAGCUUGUUGGUGGGGUAGUGGCUUACCAAGGCUUUGACGGGUAGCCGGCCUGAGUGGGUGACCGGCCACAUUGGGACUGAGAUACGGCCCAGACUCCUACGGGAGGCAGCAGUGGGGAAUAUUGCACAAUGGGCGGAAGCCUGAUGCAGCAACGCCGCGUGCGGGAUGACGGCCUUCGGGUUGUAAACCGCUUUCGCCUGUGACGAAGCGUGAGUGACGGUAAUGGGUAAAGAAGCACCGGCUAACUACGUG
rnacentral:rRNA from 1 species